rnacentral:rRNA from 1 species
AAAGGUAAGCUACUAAGAGCGAAUGGUGGAUGCCUUGACUGGUAAAGGCGAUGAAGGACGUACUAGACUGCGAUAAGCUACGGGGAGCUGUCAAGAAGCUUUGAUCCGUAGAUUUCCGAAUGGGGCAACCCAAUGUAUAGAGAUAUACAUUACCUAUAUAGGAGCGA